UGUGUUUUAAAUAAUAACAUUGGUAUUAAAUAUCCAUAAUCAAUGUGAAUACCAAGAUGGAGUUUUGCUCAAGUGACAAGUCUAUAAAACCUAAAACCUUACUUAUAAAAUGUAUGCACAUCAAAUAUCAAAAUUAAAGUAUUAUGUCUUUGUUCUGAGAAACUUAUAAAUGUGUAGUUUUGUGUUUUAACAUAUUGGUAUCUGAAUUCAAAGAAAAAAUAUAAAAUUUUUUAUGAAAAAAUUGAAUCUUCAAUCAUCGUUUACUGAAUCAAUAAUAGUAUGUUCAAUAUUAAUAUGGACUAUCUCAACUUAAAUUGAUAUUUGUUAUUGUCUACAACUACACUACUACCAACGUCAAAUUUGGUGUAUUAUAUUAUUGUAGUCAAUCAGUCUAAACUAAUUCCAUCAAUACAUUGUCGAAUGUUGUGGUAUUCAAUUUUCAGUAAAUUUAUA